ACUGAGAGACACCCUUCUCACCCUGGGUGUGCCAUGGCUGUCAGGCUCCUCUGCUAUGUGGCCCUUUACCUUCUGAGGGCAGGCCUCAUGGAUGCUGAUGUCUCCCAGACCCCAAAACAUUGUAUUGCAGGGACAGGAAAGAAGAUUACUCUGGAAUGUUCUCAAACCAUGAACCAUGACAAUAUGUACUGGUACCGACAAGAUGCAGGGAGGGAACUACAGCUGCUUCAUUAUUCAUAUGGUGUUAAUACCACAGAGAAAGAAGAGUUCUCCUCUGGGUCAACUGUCUCCAGACUCAGGAAGGAGCAUUUUCCUCUAACGCUAGAGUCUGCCAGCCCCUCACAGACAUCUCUAUACCUCUGUGCCAGCAGUUAAUAC